CAGGACCCUAUCCCAGUGUCUACCUCCCUCCUCGGCAACACGUCCGACACCACCUCCACUGGCCUUGCCCAGCGCUUAGCCAGGAAGACCAACAAGCAGGUGUUCGUCAGCUACAACCUUCAGAACACAGACAGCACCUUCGCGCUGCUGGUGGAGAACAGGAUCAAGGAGGAGAUGGAGGCUUUCCCGGACAAGUUCUAGCUGUGGGAGAAGUGGGGGCUGUGGCCUGUGUUCCACCUACAUUUAAAUAAACGGAUUGAGUUGCACCGUCA